rnacentral:rRNA from 1 species
CACGUAGGGUGCGAGCGUUGUCCGGAAUUAUUGGGCGUAAAGCGCGCGUAGGCGGCUUUGUAUGUCGAUUGUGAAAGCCCCGGGCUCAACCUGGGAACUGCAGUCGAAACUGCAAAGCUUGAAUGUUGGAGAGGUUGGGGGAAUACCUAGUGGAGAAGUGAAAUUCGUAGAGAUUAGGUGGAACACCAGAGGCGGAAGGCGCCUGACUGGCCAAACAUUGACGCUGAGGCGACGAAAGCGUGGGUAGCAAACAGG